rnacentral:rRNA from 1 species
GAUGAACGCUGGCGGCGUGCCUAAUACAUGCAAGUCGAGCGAACAGACGAGGAGCUUGCUCCCCUGACGUUAGCGGCGGACGGGUGAGUAACACGUGGAUAACCUACCUAUAAGACUGGGAUAACUUCGGGAAACCGGAGCUAAUACCGGAUAAUAUAUUGAACCGCAUGGUUCAAUAGUGAAAGACGGUUUUGCUGUCACUUAUAGAUGGAUCCGCGCCGCAUUAGCUAGUUGGUAAGGUAACGGCUUACCAAGGCGACGAUGCGUAGCCGACCUGAGAGGGUGAUCGGCCACACUGGAACUGAGACACGGUCCAGACUCCUACGGGAGGCAGCAGUAGGGAAUCUUCCGCAAAGGGCGAAAGCCUGACGGAGCAACGCCGCGUGAGUGAUGAAGGUCUUCGGAUCGUAAAACUCUGUUAUUAGGGAAGAACAAAUGUGUAAGUAACUAUGCACGUCUUGACGGUACCUAAUCAGAAAGCCACGGCUAACUACGUG